UACGUAGGGGGCAAGCGUUGUUCGGAAUUACUGGGCGUAAAGGGCGCGUAGGCGGCACGGUAAGUCGGGAGUGAAGGCCCGGGGCUCAACCCCGGAACGUCUUUCGAAACUGCCGAGCUAGAGUGCGGAAGAGGCAACUGGAAUUCCCAGUGUAGCGGUGAAAUGCGUAGAUAUUGGGAAGAACACCUGAGGCGAAGGCGGGUUGCUGGGCCGACACUGACGCUGAUGCGCGAAAGCCAGGGGAGCGAACGGG
rnacentral:rRNA from 1 species